GCCGCGCGUGGGGGCGCGUAGGUCCGUGCCACGUCAGGCGCGUGGGGGCGCGUGAGGACUCCAAAAAUUAUUUUAAAAAUAUGGGGAUGAUCCUGAGGUUGUGUAGGUCACGGUGGUAUAUUCAUAUACCCAAUUUGAGCAAUAUAUGAGGAGUUAUUAACUAAGAUUUGGGUUAGGCGUUAAAUAACGUCAAAUUGGUUACUCUUGUAUAGGUGAGGUUUAUGCGGGCAUCGGGCAUGGCCAAGGGAUGCUCAGGGACUUACGAGACGUCGAUGUAUUCUGUGAGUGGGCAGUUUUGUUUUCUGUAUAUAUAUAUACUUGACGUUUCCCAGAAAUUGAAUUGAAAUGAAAAUAUGUUUAAAAUGAAAUGCAUAUGAGUUAUGUGGAAAAACGGGAAGUGAAAUACCAUGCAUAGAAUUGAUAUGAAAAGUAUAUAGAAAUGUGAGUUGAAAUGCCAUGCAUGAAUUAAUAUAUGAUGCAUAUGUAUGAAUUAGUGCGGUGGACGCACAGGUAAGAAUUGAUUUAUGAUGCAUAUGCAUGAAUUAGUGCGGUGGACGCACAGGUAAGAAUUGAUUUAUGAUGCAUAUGCAUGAAUUGGUGCGGUGGACGCACGGGUAAGAAUUGAUUUAUGAUGCAUAUGUAUGAAAUGGUGCGGUGGACGCACAUGUGAGUAUUUAUUUCUGUUAUGAUGAUGUUGAUGUAUAUUGAGCUCAAAUCCUGCACCAUAGUUUAGUGUUUAUAGUAUUCACCGCAUCGCACGCUCGUCUUGGAUCCAAGUAGAUGCUAGUCGUACAGUCCACGCGGAGUGGGUACGACAGGCCAGUCGCGAGAGUGUUAGUGAGAUUCCGACUGGUGGGUGACCUUAGAUUAUGUGCACAGAUGAUUUAUGAGAAGCACUAGAGCGUAACUUAUGUGCAGAAGGCCGGACAGGUCACGCGGAGUGACUCCGGCAGAGUGUGAGAGUGAUAGAUUUUGAGCUCUAGGUUCAACCGUGCAGGGCUAUUAGAGGGCCUCCGGUUGAUUACUUUCUUGCACCUGAUAUGAUUAUUGUUGAUGCAUCCAUACUUAACUGUUGAAUUAGACAUGGCAUGGCAUGAUUGAUAAAGAAAAAUGUUGAGAUAGUAAAAAAUGAAGUUUGAGAAUAUAUAUGUAUAUUUAUAUUUUACAUUUCUGGGAAAGUAUACAGGUUUUACGGAGAGGGGUUACAACGUUUUGAGAAAUGUUUGGAU
rnacentral:lncRNA from 1 species